rnacentral:rRNA from 1 species
UACGUAGGGGGCAAGCGUUGUCCGGAAUCAUUGGGCGUAAAGCGCGUGUAGGCGGCCCGGUAAGUCCGCUGUGAAAGUCGGGGGCUCAACCCUCGAAUGCCGGUGGAUACUGUCGGGCUAGAGUGCGGGAGAGGCGAGUGGAAUUCCUGGUGUAGCGGUGAAAUGCGCAGAUAUCAGGAGGAACACCGGUGGCGAAGGCGGGUCUCUGGGCCGAUACUGACGCUGAGGCACGAAAGCGUGGGGAGCAAACAGG